GUGCGUUGAGGUAGUAGGUUGUAUAGUUUAGAAUAUUACCAUGGUGAACUAUGCAAUUUCCUAUCUCAACGGAC
rnacentral:pre_miRNA from 1 species